ACAAGCGGUGGAGCAUGUGGUUUAAUUCGAUGCAACGCGAAGAACCUUACCUGGUCUUGACAUCCACGGAAGUUUUCAGAGAUGAGAAUGUGCCUUCGGGAACCGUGAGACAGGUGCUGCAUGGCUGUCGUCAGCUCGUGUUGUGAAAUGUUGGGUUAAGUCCCGCAACGAGCGCAACCCUUAUCCUUUGUUGCCAGCGGUCCGGCCGGGAACUCAAAGGAGACUGCCAGUGAUAAACUGGAGGAAGGUGGGGAUGACGUCAAGUCAUCAUGGCCCUUACGACCAGGGCUACACACGUGCUACAAUGGCGCAUACAAAGAGAAGCGACCUCGCGAGAGCAAGCGGACCUCAUAAAGUGCGUCGUAGUCCGGAUUGGAGUCUGCAACUCGACUCCAUGAAGUCGGAAUCGCUAGUAAUCGUGGAUCAGAAUGCCACGGUGAAUACGUUCCCGGGCCUUGUACACACCGCCCGUCACACCAUGGGAGUGGGUUGCAAAAGAAGUAGGUAGCUUAACCUUCGGGAGGGCGCUUACCACUUUGUGAUUCAUGACUGGGGUGAAGUCGUAACAAGGUAGCCGUAAAUCUCUGGAAGAUCCGCGCG
rnacentral:rRNA from 1 species